rnacentral:rRNA from 1 species
UACGAAGGGGGCUAGCGUUGCUCGGAAUCACUGGGCGUAAAGCGCACGUAGGCGGCUUUUUAAGUCAGGGGUGAAAUCCUGGAGCUCAACUCCAGAACUGCCUUUGAUACUGAGAAGCUUGAGUCCGGGAGAGGUGAGUGGAACUGCGAGUGUAGAGGUGAAAUUCGUAGAUAUUCGGAGGAACACCAGUGGCGAAGGCGGCUCACUGGUCCAUUACUGACGCUGAGGUGCGAAAGCGUGGGGAGCAAACAGG